rnacentral:snRNA from 1 species
GGAUGUGAGGGCAAUCUGGCUGUGACAUCUUUCACCCCAUUGAUCAGCAGGGUUGAUUUGGCUGAUCUGGCUGGCUGGGUGGGUGUCCCCUUCCUCCCUCAAUGAUCCACGUGUGUCCCUCCCAAAGCUGCAUGCUCAGUCAUAGAGGACAACCACCCCUGAUAGAGGAGGAGUGUUCCUUAGUCAAGGAUAUAGAAGUAGCUGAACUUCCUUGCUGGAACCUCCAAACAAGCUCUCAAGGAUUAAGUCCAUUUGUUCACAGGUUUAGUUAAGUUCUAUAUCUCUUU